CAGUAGCCGCGGUAAUACAGAGGUCUCAAGCGUUGUUCGGAUUCAUUGGGCGUAAAGGGUGCGUAGGUGGCGGUGUAAGUCUAACGUGAAAUCUCGGGGCUCAACCUCGAAAUUGCGUCGGAUACUGCAUUGCUAGAGGAUUGUAGAGGAGAGUGGAAUUCAUGGUGUAGCAGUGAAAUGCGUAGAUAUCAUGAGGAAGACCAGUUGCGAAGGCGACUCUCUGGGCAAUUCCUGACACUGAGGCACGAAGGCUAGGGGAGCAAACGGGAUUAGAUACCCGCGUAGUCCCUGUCUCUUAUAC
rnacentral:rRNA from 1 species